rnacentral:pre_miRNA from 1 species
AUUAAAUGUGUCCGCGAGUGUUGUUUAAUCACUAUGUUAGAACGAUAUAUAACAUAAUUAUAACAUAGUGACUAAACAACACUCGCGGAUACACUUAAUCUC